UAGAGUUAAAGUGCUAACUGAUUACAUCAACUGGGAAGCAACCAUCUUCCCGCAGCACACACAUAAUGCACACAAUUAAAAGUCACCAUUAUGAGUUUAACAAAACUCAUACGUGUUGAUAGUUUCUCCUGCAGCAACAAUGGGAUAAACCCUGAGUAUGGAAAUACUCAGCAAGACUGACCCGACUAAAGAAAAAGACUCUCAAGGAUAUGCUAGUUGUUGGGAAUCAAGGUAAGGCUUACCAAAUUUCAAAGACUCAGUUUUGCAGAAAAGCUUACUAGUAGUGGAUCCUUAAGCCAAACUUUUACUUCACAAGUUAAGUACUUUUCCUGAGUCUAGAUUUGCCUAAUCUAGAGCAUUCACUUGUCCUACACUAGCUUCAUUUUAACAGCUUUAGUUUCACUUGUUAUCUACGAUGCAGGGCAGUGAUCCAGUCUUGAUAUCCGAGAAGUUCGGCGAUCCGAAUCGGUUAAUACUCAGCUGAGGAUCUCCAACCACACGACAUAUGUAGCACUUAACCCUUGCAUAUGUCAACUCGCCCACGGGUUUCUCAAGAUCAGAACGGGUCCCCGCCAACCGAGAGCUCAGUACCCCACCAUCCAGCAUCUUGUCAGGUGGAUACACGAUACUCUCGCCAUCUCUCCACUCCCAUUACGGGCCGGCCUUUCUGGUAUUGGUCCAGCCGAGGCUAAGCUUACCCAUGAUGAGGCAUGUGGCCAGUUAAAGGGUCCUAGAUCAGCAGGCCAACAAUCGGAACGGUCCUUAAUCGACACAGACGGGCGACCUUUCCUGCUCAACGUCUGGUCUCCCCUUAAAUUAUUUUUGAAAACCUGGUACCUGUCAGAGGUACCCUACUAAAAUGAUGAAGUCAUCAAGGCCUUUGAUACCUUCAUCACUCCAGCCUCUUUUUCUUUGUAAAAACAUGAUUCAUAGAUCAAAACAUUUUGUUCUUAGUCUAUGAGCAUACUAAGCACAUCUGCCUUUUUAAAACAGGUAUCAAGGAUGGUAAUCAAUUGUUCAAGGAAGUUAUGCAACAAAGGUUUAAUCAUUCAACUCCUACCACCUAAUGCAACAUAUAACUGAUAAAAGUUUAAAAACAGCAAGGAGGUGGCAAAUGCACUGGGGCUUGCCUUGGUGAGGAGGAGAGUCGGGUUCUUCUACCAGGAUAUUACAGUUAGCAGCAAAUCCAAAUGGGGCACCUUCCGGAGGACCUUCGAUGACAGUCUCAGUGGGAGGAAUUUCAGAUGGAGGAACAGGCUCCCUUUCUACUUCCACUUCAAAUUCUUCUUCAAGGUGCUCUACAAGUUAAUUCGAAGUAUAUGAAUGCUUAUGUAAUGAUAUGCUAUGCAAACUCUCGCAAGGGAGAGGAGAAGAAACAUCAAGUUCUCAAAACAAGUAUAGGCUAAGACUAUCCACCCUUCUAUACUACCCAAUUUUGCUCAAGUUGCCCAAUGUGAAUUUACUAAGACCACCCAGAGAAGUAAACAUACUACAAGUUACCAAACUUGCAGUUCUUCAAUUGAUAGAGUUCCAAUUUGAGGUAAACAUAUAUUAACACCAAGUUUUAUUAAUUUAAACUCCCUCAUUUAGCUAUUUUAAGGUUCUCUGGUCAAACAAUUCCAAAUAGGUUCACAUUUUUACCAUAGACUAUUUUAGUGAUAGAUAACUUCUCCACGAAUUCUCAUAAUUUUUGGUGCUCUGGUUUUAUUUCUAAAAUUCAUUUAUGCAUUCCAGGGGCACUUUUAAUUACCCAAAAAUUUAAUUAUUGCUGAAAAAAUCCUAAAACUGUUCCUAGCAGAAACUACAAAAUUUUGCGGAUUCAACAAAAUUGGUUUCACAAUUUUUGCAUUUUUCUACAUUUCCUGGUGCAUUUUACAAGUUGUCAACAAAAAGAAAAAAAAGGAAAAAAUGCAAUAGUGACUGGGCCGAAACCGACCCAUGCGGCCACUAACAGCGGAGAAACCAGCCACACGCCGUCAGCCCGCGCCGCCUUGGGACCUUUUCCGAUGAGGCCCUUGCCAAUUUGGAUAACUAGAUACAAGGUCUAACACUAUUUUCCCCCUCUCACUGACAAUCUCAUAUAGGCCCCUUGCUUCCUUCCUAUUUACAAACCUCCGUCCUCGACGGUGGAUACCUCCCCGCCGGCCAAACCACGACUGGGCUCGCCGUUGGAGAUCCUCUCUGGUGAAGCUGAACAUAUCUACUCGAUUUCCGAGGCUAACUAACUAUUUCCCUUAAUUUAAUUGAUCCCAAACAGUCUAGGACCUACUUAUCCACAGUGACCGUGGACCAGUGAACGCCGGUGAGGUGAACUAAGGUGAUGAGUACGGUAAAGUUCAAUCUAAAGGUAUGAUAAGCACUAGCGAACAUUCAUGUACAUGGUGCUCACCGAAGUUCACUCGGAGAAGCUAUGAUUGGGUUGGUCGACGUUGACACAGCCUUCAACGGUGCUCACCGGAUACAUGACGACGUUCCGGUGAAGACACUGCGAUAGAAUCCAAAAGGAAGAUUCUUUGAGCAUCACCACUGCCUCAGGGUUCUAAAACGUGAACAGAUUGAACAUGUUACCUCUCUGAAUGGACUGGCCACGAGAAGAUAAAAGAUUUGGAGGGUGGUCACCACUUUCAGCGUCUACACAAGGUUCUGGCCCCUUCAACAAGACCGAGAGGUAGAGAGGGCUUAAGGGUUUUUCACAGAGGUCGAG
rnacentral:lncRNA from 1 species